rnacentral:snRNA from 1 species
AUACUUACCUGGCAGGGGAGAUACCAUGAUCACGAAGGUGGUUUUCCCAGGGCGUGGCUUAUCUAUUGCACUCCGGAUGUGCUGACCCCUGCGAUUUCCCCAAAUGUGGGAAACUCAACUGCAUAAUUUGUGGUAGUGGGGGACUGCAUUCACGCUCUCCCCUA